rnacentral:lncRNA from 1 species
AUGUGUGAACUUUCUCUCGAGCCCUCAUCACUGUUGGAGCAAUGGCUGAGCAGUCGUAAUGCAGUGUGUCAGGAAGAAGUCAGAAGAGGUAACAACAAAGGCAAAAUGGAGCUGGAUGGACUUCUCUUUUGGCUGAAAUCAAGGCAGGUGGUAUCUGCACAUCCAUGGCCUUUCCUUGACUACAAGAUGGGAAAAGCUCGGCCACAUCCAGGCUGCUCCCACCCAUCUGCUCUGAGAGUUCAGCAGUUUUACCAUCCAGGAGGAGCUGAGAGCUGCUCUGGAAGUCUUUUGUCUGUGGAUAUGAAGGUGGUUCUGUGUGCUCUCUGGAAGUCUGUAGAUGGACAGAACUGCUGGCACAGUGCUUUUCCCUCUGUUUGGCAUUGGAUAGCCAAUGACAGAAGUCUAAAAGCAGGCAGGUUAUUCUCCAAAUGCACCACAAAACAACAGCGACAACAACGAGGGAAGAUGUUGGAGCUCUGA